rnacentral:rRNA from 1 species
CCUACGGGUGGCAGCAGUGGGGAAUAUUGGACAAUGGGCGAAAGCCUGAUCCAGCCAUGCCGCGUGUGUGAAGAAGGCCUUCGGGUUGUAAAGCACUUUCAGUUGGGAAGAAAGCCUUGGGUCUAAUACCCUCGAGGAAGGACAUCACCAACAGAAUAAGCACCGGCUAACUCCGUGCCAGCAGCCGCGGUAAUACGGAGGGUGCGAGCGUUAAUCGGAAUUACUGGGCGUAAAGCGCGCGUAGGCGGUCUGAUAAGCCGGUUGUGAAAUCCCCGGGCUCAACCUGGGAACGGCAUCCGGAACUGUCAGGCUAGAGUGCAGGAGAGGAAGGUAGAAUUCCCGGUGUAGCGGUGAAAUGCGUAGAGAUCGGGAGGAAUACCAGUGGCGAAGGCGGCCUUCUGGACUGACACUGACGCUGAGGUGCGAAAGCGUGGGUAGCAAACAGGAUUAGAUACCCUAGUAGUC